rnacentral:lncRNA from 1 species
AUGGGGGUAGAGACACAAAUUCUCGAAGCCAGGCUUCAGCAAUACUUGAACCAUGAACUUCCAGAUGUUCAAGCUGGUUUUAGAAAAGACAGAGGAACCAGAGAUCAAAUUGCCAACAUCCCCUGGAUCAUCGAAAAAGCAAGAGAGUUCCUGAAAAACAUCUAUUUCUGCUUUAUUGACUAUGCCAAAGCCUUUGACUGUGUGAAUCACAAUAAACUGUGGAAAAUUCUGAAAGAGAUAGGAAUACCAGAUCACCUGACCUGCCUCUUGAGAAAUCUGUAUGCAGGUCAGGAAGCAACACUUAGAACUGGACAUGGAACAAUAGACUGGUUCCAAAUAGGAAAAGGAGUACAUCAAGGCUGUAUACUGUCACCCUGCUUAUUUAACUUAUAUGCAAAGUACAUCAUGAGAAACGCUGGGCUGGAAGAAGCACAAGCUGGAAUCAAGAUUGCCGGGAGAAAUAUCAGUAACCUCAGAUAUGCAGAUGACACCACCCUUAUGGCAGAAAGUGAAGAGGAACUAAAAAGCCUCUUGAUGAAAGCAAAAGAGGAGAGUGGAAAAGUUGGCUUAAAGCUCAACAUUCAGAAAACGAAGAUCAUGGCAUCUGGUCCCAUCAUUUCAUGGCAAAUAGAUGGGGAAACAGUGGAAACAGUGUCAGACUUUAUUUUUCGGGGCUCCCAAAUCACUGCAGAUGGUGAUUGCAGCCAUGAAAUUAAAAGACACUUACUCCUUGGAAGGAAAGUUAUGGCCAACCUAGAUAGCAUAUUCAAAAGCAAAGAUAUUACUUUGCCAACAAAGGUCUGUCUAGUCAAGGCUAUGGUUUUUCCAGUGGUCAUGUAUGGAUAUGAGAGUUGGACUGUAAAGAAAGCUGAGCACCAAAGAAUUAAUGCUUUUGAACUAUGGUAUUGGAGAAGACUUUUGAGAGUCCCUUGGACUGCAAGGAGGUCCAACCAGUCUAUCCUAAAGGAGAUCAGUCCUGGAUGUUCAUUGGAAGGACUGAUGCUAAAGCUGAAACUCCAAUACUUUGGCCACCUCAUGUGA